rnacentral:rRNA from 1 species
UGGGGAAUAUUGGGCAAUGGGCGAAAGCCUGACCCAGCAACGCCGCGUGAGGGAAGAAGGGUUUCGGCUCGUAAACCUCUGUCCUAUGGGACGAAGGAAGUGACGGUACCAUAGGAGGAAGCCCCGGCUAACUACGUGCCAGCAGCCGCGGUAAUACGUAGGGGGCGAGCGUUGUCCGGAAUGAUUGGGCGUAAAGGGCGCGUAGGCGGCCUGUUAAGUCUGGAGUGAAAGUCCUGCUUUCAAGGUGGGAAUUGCUUUGGAUACUGAUGGGCUGGAGUGCAGGAGAGGAAAGCGGAAUUACCGGUGUAGCGGUGAAAUGCGUAGAGAUCGGUAGGAACACCAGUGGCGAAGGCGGCUUUCUGGACUGAAACUGACGCUGAGGCACGAAAGCGUGGGGAUCGAACAGGAUUAGAUACC